CUUCAGCGAACCCAGCCAGAGCGGCCGUUGGGCCGGACGGUCCUGUCCAUAGGUGGCCAGCAGGGCCUCCGCCUC
rnacentral:antisense_RNA from 13 species